CCUACGGGAGGCAGCAGUGGGGGAUAUUGGACAAUGGGGGGAACCCUGAUCCAGCGACGCCGCGUGAGUGAAGACGUAUUUCGGUAUGGAAAGCUCUUUCAGCAGGGAAGAAAGCAAUGACGGUACCUGACCAAGAAGCCCCGGCUAACUACGUGCCAGCAGCCGCGGGAAUACGGAGGGGGCAAGCGUUAUCCGGAAUUACGGGGUGUAAAGGGGGCGUAGACGGCGGUGCAAGUCUGGAGUGAAAGGCGGGGGCCCAACCCCCGGACUGCUCUGGAAACUGUAUGGCUGGAGUGCGGGAGAGGUAAGCGGAAUGCGUGGUGUAGCGGUGAAAUGCAUAGAUAUUAGGCAGAACACCAGUGGCGAAGGCAGCUUACUGGACUGUAACUGACGUUGAGGCUCGAAAGCGUGGGUAGCGAACAGGAUUAGAUACCCCAGUAGUC
rnacentral:rRNA from 1 species